rnacentral:rRNA from 1 species
UGGGGAAUUUUGGACAAUGGGCGCAAGCCUGAUCCAGCCAUGCCGCGUGAGUGAAGAAGGCCUUCGGGUUGUAAAGCUCUUUCGGACGGGAAGAAAUGGCGGGCUCUAACAUAGCCUGUCGAUGACGGUACCGUAAGAAGAAGCACCGGCUAACUACGUGCCAGCAGCCGCGGUAAUACGUAGGGUGCGAGCGUUACUCGGAAUUACUGGGCGUAAAGCGUGCGUAGGUGGUUGUUUAAGUCUGAUGUGAAAGCCCUGGGCUCAACCUGGGAAUGGCAUUGGAAACUGGGCAGCUAGAGUGCGGUAGAGGGUAGUGGAAUUCCCGGUGUUGCAGUGAAAUGCGUAGAGAUCGGGAGGAACAUCUGUGGCGAAGGCGACUGCCUGGACCAGCACUGACACUGAGGCACGAAAGCGUGGGGAGCAAACA